AUUCACUGAUUCAAAAAUACCAAGAUGUCAAACUGCAGCUGAUAUUUCUCCAGACAGAGGAGGAUAAAAUUAAGGCAAAACUCAACAAAAUAAUCCUAAAGGGGAAGAAAAUCAUCUACAACAGUCUAACAGAGACAAUUGAGAAAAACAUGAAAAAGUGCUAUGAAGAUGCACAAAAAAUUUCAGGAAAAGAUGGACUGAAAAAAAUGAGGAAGACUAUUGAGACACAUGUAUCCUUAAAUAGGAACAUUUAUGAGGACGCAAAAAAGACCAUGAUGACGAAGAUGAAUAUAUUGAUGAUCGUCUGCAAGGAAAUGAAGGAAACCAUGGUCCACUCCAUUAAACUCUCACUCAAGGCAUCAGCUUUGAGUGAGAGUCUUCCAGAUGUUUCAGAGCAUCUUGAAACUGUGCAGCAACAUUACAAUGAAGAUUUGUUCCAAACAGUAACAGCAGAAACCUGAUGACCCACUCAACAUCUCUGAGGGAACACUGACCAUGAGGUCUCUGGAUAUCACCACAGACAUUUUUGUCAAGUUGUGUUGUCUGCUGUCUUUGAAUGUUGUGUUUGACUUUUAAUGAAUUUAAUGAAAUUAGAUUUUUUAGUGCAUGUGGGUUAGGUUAAGUGGUGAUUUUGAAUAUAGAUGUGCAUCUGAGCAAUAAUAAUUGUGUUUCUCUGUUAGCCGUGCAACAAAGUUAUUAUAGUUUUGUAUUUUGUUUUAUUUUUAUUUAUUUUUAUUAAGUUUUAUUUUAUUUAUUUGUGACUUUUUGUUUUUAUUUCAGUUUAGUUUUAGUAAGUUUCAAGAUUGUUUUUGUUUCAAUUUUUAUUGUUUGAAAAUGUUUAGUUUUAGUUCAGUUUUAUUACUUUUAUACUUUAAAAAAAAAAAUUAUUGUUGUAUUUAGUGCAAAUGUCAGAGGCAAAACUGAGGAAAACCAUUACAGGUGUUACAAUAGAAACGUUUCACUUUUUUUUUUAAAACAGUUGAACCACUUGUCUUGUAGAUGUCCAGUGUCUCAAACACAUCCAUAAAUACCAUGUCAGGCACAUUGUAAUAACAUUUUUACCAAACUAACAAAUACUGAAACUAAGGCUAUUUUCUCUAGAAACUGAUUUGUAUUUCAAAUUAGUUCACUAAUUCAUUUCUGUUGUUUUUUGUUUUUAUUUAACUAAAAUAUUCAUAUUUAGUUUUAGUUUUUACUUUAGUUUUAUUUGAGUGGAAUAACCUUAGCAACCUGUUCAGGGUGUACUCUGCCUCUCGCCUGACAACUGGGAAAGACUCCAGCAACCCUGGAUUGGAUAAGCAGAAGAAAAUGAAUGGAUGGAGACUUUUAAGUAUUAAUUCCUCGCAGGGGUAUUAAGGUUUUAAUUGUGAGGGUCUAAACCAAAUGGCCAGCACUCUGUCCAAAAAUGUUUUCGUCUCCCCCCCUUGUCAUAUUUAUUCAUUAUUUGUAGACCCUAGUUAUACAGAAAAUUAGAUACAGCGGUAGAACUACAAUAUUACAGAUUUUAAUUUUAGUGCCUUAAACCACAGGAAUACUGUGAUAUUCAGACUCUUUUCAGGUUUAAGGAUUCAAUUUAUGUUUUUCUUUCAAUAGCAGAUUUUCUUUCCCUUGUAGUAAAUUUGAAUAUUACAAUUUAAUGUCUUUGGUCAUGAUUCAUUUAUACUCAUGAUGCAUUUGUCAGUUUUAUUUUUGAGACCUUUAUAGCACAUGACUUAUGUGUACCAUGUUCUUACAUUUCUAACAUAAAUAUUAUUUACUGUAAUACAAUGGUUUAAUUUGGUUGUCACAUGAGUAAUAAAGCAGCAGCAAAACAA